UCAACCAGCAUUCCUAGCCUUUGCGCCCUACCUGUCUUCUUCUCCCUUAAACACCUCUAUGCUUUCUUCUAGGGCUGCUCCUUGUGCAUUGGAAAAAUUCCCUGAUAAAAUCCAAGCAGCCAUGACCUCAUCUUCCAUCAACUCCCUCUUCUGCUAUGAAGAUUAUAAAACCCACCCUGACGAUCACGGCUGGGCAGUUGACAGACAAGCACACAGCACAAUGGGGCCUGAGUCUGAUUGGAAUUUUGGGGUGCUACCAGAAAGAAUAAUAUGGGCAGCUGGACUGAUAUUUCCUUGGCAAUUACAACACUACACCCUAGGACCAAGUUAAAUGCAAGAAAUGAGUUUAUGGGCACUAUCCAUCAUACAAAAUAGCUGGGAAGCACAGAAAAGGGAGAGAUAGAUACCAUGUCAUCCCAUCUGCCCUACUGUAUAGUAUGGACACCUUCAUCUAGAAUCUGGCAAAUAGAAUCAAAUUAUAAUUAUUCUUUUGAACAACACACUACACAUUCAAUUAUUUAUGUAUUUAGUUUUAAAUAAUAUUUUUUUAAAAUGCCGAUCCAAAUCUCUAGAAGCCCUAACACAUCAUUCAUAAUACAAUCAAAUCACAGUAGCAUUGAACUAAUUAUUUCAACAGGCAUGCAACUAGCCAGCCACUUACAGAAACUCCUUUGCACCUCUCCUUCUUGGUGGGCAACAUACCCUCAGACUUCUCCAAAAAUCUUAUCAAAGAGAUGUUUGUUGCAGCAGGAGGAUACCAAAUUUAAAACAUUUAUAUAGAUAACUUUAGUAUCAUUGUGGUGGGGCAAGUGCCCCACAGAGGGAGAAGAAGGGGUUAAAAAGCAGCACCAGGGAGGCUGCACAGAACCCAUGAAUCAGGAAAGGGUUUAUUGAGCCCACCAAUAGGGGGAAGGCUUGCUGGAGCAGCAGUCAUGAUCGGCAAGGACCAUAUAUAAAGGGAUGCUCAGCAGAGCACAAGGGAGUCUUUCCCUGGAAGGCA